rnacentral:rRNA from 1 species
GACGAACGCUGGCGGCGUGCUUAACACAUGCAAGUCGAACGGAAAGGCCCUGCUUUUGUGGGGUGCUCGAGUGGCGAACGGGUGAGUAACACGUGAGUAACCUGCCCUUGACUUUGGGAUAACUUCAGGAAACUGGGGCUAAUACCGGAUAGGAGCUCCUGCUGCAUGGUGGGGGUUGGAAAGUUUCGGCGGUUGGGGAUGGACUCGCGGCUUAUCAGCUUGUUGGUGGGGUAGUGGCUUACCAAGGCUUUGACGGGUAGCCGGCCUGAGAGGGUGACCGGCCACAUUGGGACUGAGAUACGGCCCAGACUCCUACGGGAGGCAGCAGUGGGGAAUAUUGCACAAUGGGCGGAAGCCUGAUGCAGCAACGCCGCGUGCGGGAUGACGGCCUUCGGGUUGUAAACCGCUUUCGCCUGUGACGAAGCGUGAGUGACGGUAAUGGGUAAAGAAGCACCGGCUAACUACGUGCCAGCAGCCGCGGUGAUACGUAGGGUGCGAGCGUUGUCCGGAUUUAUUGGGCGUAAAGGGCUCGUAGGUGGUUGAUCGCGUCGGAAGUGUAAUCUUGGGGCUUAACCCUGAGCGUGCUUUCGAUACGGGUUGACUUGAGGAAGGUAGGGGAGAAUGGAAUUCCUGGUGGAGCGGUGGAAUGCGCAGAUAUCAGGAGGAACACCAGUGGCGAAGGCGGUUCUCUGGGCCUUUCCUGACGCUGAGGAGCGAAAGCGUGGGGAGCGAACAGGCUUAGAUACCCUGGUAGUCCACGCUGUAAACGGUGGGUACUAGGUGUGGGGUCCAUUCCACGGGUUCCGUGCCGUAGCUAACGCCUUUAAGUACCCCGCCUGGGGAGUACGGCCGCAAGGCUAAAACUCAAAGGAAUUGACGGGGCCCCGCACAAGCGGCGGAGCAUGCGGAUUAAUUCGAUGCAACGCGUAGAACCUUACCUGGGUUUGACAUGGAUCGGGAGUGCUCAGAGAUGGGUGUGCCUCUUUUGGGGUCGGUUCACAGGUGGUGCAUGGCUGUCGUCAGCUCGUGUCGUGAGAUGUUGGGUUAAGUCCCGCAACGAGCGCAACCCUUGUUCACUGUUGCCAGCACGUUAUGGUGGGGACUCAGUGGAGACCGCCGGGGUCAACUCGGAGGAAGGUGGGGAUGACGUCAAGUCAUCAUGCCCCUUAUGUCCAGGGCUUCACGCAUGCUACAAUGGCUGGUACAGAGAGUGGCGAGCCUGUGAGGGUGAGCGAAUCUCGGAAAGCCGGUCUCAGUUCGGAUUGGGGUCUGCAACUCGACCUCAUGAAGUCGGAGUCGCUAGUAAUCGCAGAUCAGCAACGCUGCGGUGAAUACGUUCCCGGG